GCGACGUUGGUGUAAUGGUUAGCAUCUACGCUUCCCAUGCAUAUUGGCUUGCGUAGGAUUCGAGUUCGAUUCUUGAACGUCGCA